CUUCCAGUAGCACCUUAGAGACCAGCUAAGUUUGUUACUGGUAUGAGCUUUCGUGUGCAUGCAUAAGUCUGAAGAAGUGUGCAUGCACACAAAAGCUCAUACCAAUAAACUUAGUUGGUCUCUAAGGUGCUACUGGAAG